rnacentral:tRNA from 1 species
AGUUAAUGAGCUUGAAAAAGCGUAUAUUUUGAAAAUAUAAGAUAGAAGAAAUUUCUAUUAACUU